UCAUUAUCGAAUAAACCUGAUGGGUUGUUGCUGGCUCUUAGGAGUAUGUGCACACUUGUCAUCUUUAUCCAUCCACCUGUGCACCUUUUGUAGUCUUGGAGGUGUUCAACAAGUGUGCAUGUUCUGGAUCCAUUCAUGGUCUCCAGGAAUGGAGUCUGCUACAUUAGAUGUGGCUGACUCUGAUGUUCAUGCGUGUAUCCUCUGAGCCUAUGUUUUUCUUAUACACUACAAUUGCAUGUCUCAGAAUGUAUUAUCACAGGCCUUUGUGCCUAUAAACAAUAUACAACUUUCAGCAACGGAUCUCUUGGCUCUCGCAUCGAUGAAGAACGCAGCGAAAUGCGAUAAGUAAUGUGAAUUGCAGAAUUCAGUGAAUCAUCGAAUCUUUGAACGCACCUUGCGCUCUUUGGUAUUCCAAAGAGCAUGCCUGUUUGAGUGUCAUUUAAUUCUCAACCCCACCAGUUUUUUUUUUAUGACUGGUUUGGUGGCUUGGAUGUGGGGGCAUAUUGCGGGCCUUAUCUUCUUCACAUGUUGAUUGAGGUCAGCUCCCCUGAAAUGCAUUAGCAGAAUGGUUUGCAGUUUCCAUUGCUGGUGUAAUAACUAUCUACGCCAACAUAAAGGCGGGACUGCUCUCUGGUAAUUCAGCUUCUAACUGUCCACUUUCAUGGACAAACUGCAUACUUGAUUCUGGACCCAAAUCAGGUAGGACUACCCGCUGAACUUAAGCAUAUCAAUA
rnacentral:rRNA from 1 species